rnacentral:rRNA from 1 species
UACGGGAUAAUAUAUUUGAGAGGCAUCUCUUGAAUAUCAAAGGUGAGCCAGUACAGGACGGACACGCGUCUGCUUAGCUAGUUUGAUAGGUAACGGCUUACCCAGGAGACGAUUCGUCACCGACCUGCGUGGGUGAUCGGUCACAUUGGAUCUGAGACACGGUCUAAACUUCUCCGGGAGGCAGCAGUGGGGAAUAUUGC